GCAGUGCCUAUGAUGGGUUUAAAUAUACUUUGAGUCUUAGCUAUGAAAUAGAAGUUAUCUGAGGCACGUU
rnacentral:snoRNA from 1 species